CCUAUGGGCGGCUGCAGUCGAGAAUCUUCGGCAAUGCGCGAAAGCGUGACCGAGCGAUGCCGCGUGCAGGAUGAAGAGCUUCGGUUUGUAAACUGCUGUCACCGGGGACGAAUUUUGACGGUACCCGGAGAGGAAGCCACGGCUAACUACGUGCCAGCAGCCGCGGUAAUAAGUAGGUGGCGAGCGUUGUUCGGAUUUAUUGGGCGUAAAGGGUCCGCAGGGGGUUUGUUAAGUCUGAUGUGAAAUCUCACGGCUCAACCGUGAAACUGCAUUGGAGACUGACAGACUAGAGCAUCGGAGAGGAGAGCGGAAUUCCAGGUGUAGCGGUGGAAUGCGUAGAUAUCUGGAAGAACACCGAAAGCGAAGGCAGCUCUCUAGACGAUUGCUGACCCUCAGGGACGAAAGCGUGGGGAGCAAACAGGAUUAGAUACCCCGGUAGUC
rnacentral:rRNA from 1 species